UGGCAGAAUAAUCACACUAGGAACUUAUUCAUUUAUUUAUGUUAGAUAUAUAAUCUAAAGUUAAUAUACUUUCUCUGGAAAAGUUUCUUACGUUUAUCUUCACAAGAAAAGGGAUACAUAUUUUAAAAAGGCGCGAAAGCAUAUAAAGCAAACAGAAUGAUAGAAAAUAACAUAUCUGGUGAAAGUGAUGAAGGAGAAAUAAAAUCAGAUUUUGAAGCGGAUUUCCAAGAAGAACUACAUAAUUUUCCCCAUAUUUUAAGAUUUAUUCAAAGAAUGCGUGAUCACAUUAAAAAACAAAACAAAAAGAUUGCCAAAUUACAAAAUAAACUCAGUGAACAUAAAAGUAAAAAAUUAAUGGAGAAGAAAACCUUGAUUGACUAUGGAACUCAAACGAAUCCAUUGGAAUAUGAAAAAGAAUCAUGUCAGGAUUGGAAUGUUAAUAAUGAUAAAACAUCAACUAGUAUUAUACAACAAGUUAAAGAAGUAGCUGAGUCUGCUUUGUUGCAAACUGGUUUUGUCUAUGAAGAAACUUCUGGUUUAUAUUAUGAUUACAACAGUGGAUAUUAUUAUGAUGCGAAACAAGGUUUAUAUUAUGAUGGUAAUACAGGUACAUAUUACUAUUAUGAUGAAACUAGUGGAACAUAUCAAUUCCAUAGUCAAGCACAAGUAACUGUGAAUGAAGCAGCUGCACAUGUGAAAAGCAAGAAGGAGCAGAAAACUAGAAAGACAACCAAGGAUGAGAGGAAAAAACGCAAACUUGCGGAAAGAGAAGAACAGUCGGAAGAUGAACUUGAGGACGGUGAAUGUUCAAGCAAUGAUAGUGACAGCAAUUCUAAUGACAUUACUCCAGAAUUAUGUACUAGUAGUGACAGUGACCAUGAGGAAGAUCAAGAUUUAGCGAAAACCUAUCCCCCAUGCAUGAGAAUCAUAGUUAAGGAAACCAAUCUAUCAAAAUUAAAAAUUGGGAGUCUAUUUUUUGUUGCAUAUACUGGUGGUUCAAUUGGUCGUGAAGGUGAUCAUUCUGUAGUAAUACCAGAUAUAAAUAUAAGUAAACAUCAUGCCCGCAUUUUAUAUAACGAAGAUAGAAAAAUAUACGAAGUCAUUGAUUUAGGAUCAAGAAAUGGCACGUUCUUGAAUGGUAAAAGAUUAUCUGUGGCUAAGCAAGAAUCUGAACCUCAUGAAGUUUCACAUGGUUCUAUUAUACAAGUUAGUACUACGAAAUUGUUGUGUCACAUUCAUAAUGGAAAUGAAACUUGUGGCCACUGUGAGCCAGGACUUGUUCAGCGAAGCAUUAACGCAGAAGAGAACAAAGCUUCUAAAAAAGACCAACACAAACAAGAAUUGAGACGGCUGAAGCAUAAGUUUGGCAUAGAAAAAGAUAAUGUCGCAAGUGCUAGUCAAUUAGCAUUGGGGUACCAAGACAGAGCGCAAAAUCGAAGACAGUGCAUUGGUUCUUUGAAUCAUCAUGCUAAAACACAACAAAGUUCAAUGGAUACAUCUAUAGCAAAAGACAACAGGGGAUUUAAAUUGCUAUCAAAAAUGGGCUGGUCUGAGGGACAAUCCUUAGGGAAGGAAAGAGAUGGACCGACUGAACCGGUACCUUUGACGAAUAAUCCGAGCAAAACCGGUCUCGGCGCGACCAGCGAAUUUCCUACAAUCGAGCUAGAUUCUACGACGGAAAAGAAGCAGGCGCUGUGGCGAAAGACCCAGCAACGUUACAAAGAAAUAACCGACCAUGCGAAAUAAUUGCACCGUGAACGUUUGUCGGGAAAAACGCUUGAUUUGCAUUGCACGCGCUUUUUCAUCGUCUGUCACGGGUGCUUCUCGCGCAAAACGCAUUACGUAAACGAGAAACCUAUGGUGAAUUAAGAAGAGGAACGCGUCUAGACAGAAGAUCUUAAAAAGGAACGUUUGUUUCCCUUUGCAGCGACGAGUUCUUCUCGAAGGCAGAGGAUAGGAAAGAAAGAAGAACGAAUGAAACGGGAUCCGUAUUGAGAUUUCUUGAGUUCUGCUAUAAAAGGCAGAUCGUCAUGGAGGAAAUUCGGUUCGAAUCGCUAGAAUUUCAUUGCACGGUGCAUUAAAAUGAUGGGUUCGUUCAACUGUGUUUACCUUCCAUUGCAACUUUGUGACAUUGUCCAACGUUUUAUCUUGCCUUUAUUUAUACGCGUCCCUUCGGACGCUUCUCAAGCUGAAAAGAAACCAAUUCCAUUCUGGAUUCAAUCUUUUGUCGCGAAAAAGUUUCUUGGAAGCAGUUUAAAAAGAUAAUUCGUAAAUUUUUACGAUGUUCAGGCUUUCUUUAGCCUUUUAACACUGCUGUUACUUUGUUUUAUAGCGGAUUCUCCUCUUUUCUUGCGAAAACGAGAAGUUUUAUUACUCUCUUAGUUGUGAAGUAUAAUAGCGAUAGUGAUUGCGUUUUAUAUUCCUUGAUGUUUCGUGAUGAAAAUGUUGGUAUAUUUUUAAGAGUAUUUUUUUACGAGUAGAAAGUUUCGCAAUAAAUUAUUUCUUUGCCUUAA